ACAGGAGGGGAGAAAGGUGUUGUUGUUGUUGUUUUUGUUUUUGUUGUUGUUGUUGUUGUUGUUGUUGUUGUUGUUGUUACAGUCCCGGUUCAUGAACUAGAAAAGAAGACACAAUGUAGUUACGAAACGCAGGAGCAUCUGGCUAGAGGUCCAGGCCCAUCCGACUUCACUGCCCACUUGCCAGAAUCCUAGCUUGGACGCCAGUCACUGAUAAUUUGAGGUCAAUUUGCAAAUCGCACAUGAGUCCAGCGCCGCAGGUGGCCCGGUGGGCAGAGAAUGAUAAAUGCCAGGAACAGAUGGGACCCUGCACCUGCGGUAAAGGCACACAGGGUUUCUGCCCUCUCAGAACCUACAUUUUAGAGAGGGAGCAGACGAUAAACCAAAGAGAGUAUACAUACAUACAUAAUCAGGAAAACGUUGGUGAACUGUUAGCACGGAGACAGUGCCAUGCAGAGAGCUUUGGAAGGAAUGGGUGAUGGGAGUAGCCCCUGAAGGCCUCUAGGAGGACUUCCCAAAGUCCUCCCAAAAGAGGAAGAACUCGGCAGCUCUCAGGCAGUAGGAACUGCGGAUGGAAGCUAUUACUGACAGAACGGUGUGAGCAUAAAAGAUGGUGUUGGAGGACCAUCCAGGGCUGAAGAACAGUGAGGCCAACCUGGUCUACAUAGUGAGUCCAGGAAUGCACCUGAUACAUACAUUCCAAAGCGCAUCUGCAAAUCUAGCUGCAAGAGAGGCCUGGAAAUGCGGUUCUUAUCUGUCUCACCUCUGUGCUGUCUGUACACAUGAUCAGAAACUGAGUACACAGCAAAUACAUCAGCAGAGAAAAAUGUAUGUGAUAUAUCCUUUUCUGAUGAGUUUAAAUUUGUAUUAAGUAAACCAACAUGGAUCCUGUUGGCUCCAUCAUGCUUUGUGAAUCUCCUAAAUUCUCAUCUCUAUGUCCACCAUUUAUUUCCUGGAAAUCUGUAACUGACCAGGAGCUACCUUUAUCCUCUUCGUGGUAGUGAGAGUGAGAAAGGCCCUGGACUUUCAGUCCCCAGUUGGCAGACUGUUUAGGAGGUGUGGCCUUGUUAGAGCAGGUGUGUUACUGAGGGUGAGCUCUGAAGUGUCUAAGAAAGAUCUCCAAAUCUCUGUGCCUCCGUGUCUCUCUAUGUCUCUGUGUCUCUCUGUGUGUGUCUCUGUCUCUCUCUCUCUCUCUCUGUCUCUCUCUCUCUUUGUGUAUGCGUGUGUGUGUGUGUGUGUGUGUGUCUGUCUGUCUGUCUGUCUGUCUCCCCUCCUCCCCAAAGAUGUAAGUACUGUUCCAGCACUAUGCCUGCCUGCCUCCUGUCACAUUCCCAUGUUAGUCAUAGACUCCCCCUCCAAAACCGGAAGCCCCAAAUAAACUCUUUCCAUAUUGCCUUUUUCAUAGCAUCUUAUCACAGCAAUAGAAAAGUAAUCAAGACACUCCUAUAAACCAUUCUCUACACUAAAACACAUGGUUAAAAAGGGGGAGAGGCACGUGCAAACCCUCCAAUCACAGACCUCUCCCACAGCUUUCCUGUUCUCAGGAUGAAGACACACCUCUGUGAGUGGUUCUCAGAAUUCCACGUGGCCGGGCUCCCGCCCCCUUCACCUGCCCCUCUGUCUCUUCCAUUCUCCUACACCGGUCUGCUCUGCUUUCUGUCAUUUCCUGACACAGGUCCUGGCGCAUGUGUUCCCUCUCUAUACCCAGUAUGUGCCAUUCCUUCUCUUCCUUUGUGAAUGGUGAUUCAUUCUUCAGACCUCCUUCAGUUAUCCCGUCUUCAGGGAAGUCCUCCCACACAGCCUGUCAUUGCUCUGGUUGAGACUGGGAGGUUUGUUUUGUUUGGGGUCUGCCUGUUUAUUUUGAUAGCACCGCCCACAGUUUGAGAUUGUGUUCACCGUUUUCUGAUCAAUUUCUGUCUCCUCUCGGAUGGAGUAUGCAUUCAUCUUCCUGUGCCCGCCUCAGCAGCUAGUGGUAGGUUAAUUUUCAAAUAUUUAUCACAAGAAUAAAAGGAAUUGAAAAGAAGUGACCUUUAGCAGAAUCUGCCCAUGUCAGGCCUGGAGGGCAUGACUGCUCAGGGCCGAGUCCCAGAAAGACUCUCACAGCCAACUGAAAGUAGAAAGAUGCUGUCUCCUUGAAGACUGCCCAGUUGUCAAGGUUACAAGUUAUGUGACUUUUAUUUCAUCCUUUUUCCUUUAAUAUAUGCCCCAGUUUCUUAGAGCCCCAUCAACUCCAUCAGAAUAUAAGAAGAAGCUGAAGAGGUGGCUUCCUUUGUCUGUGUCCAUCCUGCCGGUUCCAUAGACCUUUCUCUGUGUACAGAGAUGAAAACCAGAAACCUACAGAAGUAUUUACUUCUACCUUUCCAUGACGUGGGUGGCACUUUUGCAGAGGUCUCUUCAUUUCUCCACAGUAUUCUUGAGACACAGGAUUCCAUCAAAAGAAGGUGCUUCGGUCCUUGGUUCCUAUAACUUGCACAUGAGUCUGCUGCCGACCCCCUGUCUUAGUUACGUUCAUGUGAAUGGACACCAUGACCAAGGCAACUCUUAUAAAGACAACAUUUAAUUAAGGUGGGCGUUCAGGUUCAGAGGGUCAGUCCGUUAUCAUCUGCAUCUUCAUCUGAAGGCUGCUAGCAGAAUACUGACUUUCAGGCAACUAGGAUAAGGGUCUUAAAGUCUACACCCACAGUGAUACACCUACUCCUAAAAAGCCACACAUACUCAAACAGGGCCACACCUUCUAAUAGUGCCACUUCCUGGGCCAAACAUAUUCAUAGCACCACACCCCCAGGAUGCCAUGCUCAGAUGAAAUUAGUUCUUCAGAAGAAGAAACUGUGAGGCCCUUGCUCUCAUAGAUGCUUAAAACAAUGAACUGAGGUUUUGGAAACUGCAAAUAAAUGUGCCUGGGAAGAGUGUACACUUAGCCUAGACCAGUGGUUCUCAACCUGUGGCUCGUGACCCCUUUGGGGUCACACAUCAGACAUUCUGCAUAUCAGAUAUGUAUGUACAUUAUGAUUCAUAACAGUAGCAAGAUUACAGUUUUGGAGUAGCAACAAAAUAACUUUAUGGCUGGAUGUCACCACAUGAGGAACUGUGUUAAAGGGUCACAGCCUCAGGAAGGUUGAGAACGGCUUGUAUAAAGCAUGGCAACCCCUGGAGUCCCUUUCUUCAAGAAGUGGAGUUUUCUGGACUGAUUUUGAAAGUUCAGUUUCACUGAUGCCUCAUGCACACCAGUACUGCCAUGCCAAACACCCUAGUUCAAUUCCAGUACCACCACAUGUGUAUUUUUCUUGCUAGAAAAAAGUUAUACAGCAAAAUAACAGCAAAACAAUAAUAAAAACAAAAAACAAGUCAAAUAGGAUAAAAUUGUCUAAAAAAUGUCACUUACAAAAAUUUCUUCCAUUACUCAGUAUUUCCUUCUAGUAUUUCCCUACAUAGAUGUAAUUUUAGGAUAAACACACAUAAAUUCUGUUUACGUUAAUAUCAUGCAAGUUUUCCUAAUUGCUGUUCCAUGAUUAUCAACAUAAUGUCAGAAGUUUGCCGAAGUGAUCACUAGGAAAACUAGGAAAAACCUGAAAAUGGGCGUGACAUCAGCAAACUUGUGCUGCCCUAGAAAUAUCUGCACUUUUAAUACAAAGGAGUAGAUGGGAACACCGCCUCCCCCAACUAGUAGCUCUUUCUUAAGUGACUAGUGUCAAGUUUUAAACUUUGCUUCUUUAUUAAAAAAAAAAAGACUAUUUUAGUUUUAUGCAUGAGUGUUUUGCAUGCAUGCUUGCCUGCACAUCUGAACACCACUCGCAUGCCUGGCAUCCAGAGAGGCCAGAAGAGAGCACUGGAUGUUCUGGAACCAGAGUCACAGAUGGCUGCGAACAGUCAUGUGGGUGCUGGCAAUCAACGCUGGGUCCUCCAAAGGAGCAUGCAGUCCUCUCUAACACAGAACUAUCUCUUGGCCCUUCUUCAUAUUCAAAUGAGGUUCACAAUACAUUGAAAUUGAAAGUAGUAAUACCAUCAGCUAAGGUAGAUCUCAAGGAGAUUUAAUUAACUUCUAUUUUAAUCAUCUUCCAACUAGUUCCUUUUAGAGAGAUUCUGAGAAAGAAGUUACAGAGCUAAAAUCAUUUUCCUGGGACGGGACCCUGACACCCAGGUACUGAGGUGGGGGUAGGGUAGGCAGACCAGAGGCUGAUGACUUCUGGCAAUUGACUCCUGCUUAUAGCAGCAAGGGGUUAAGAAAAGAAAGUUACAUAGUGGAUUUUAUUGAUGGAUUUCCAUAUAUUGAACCAUCCCUGCAUCCCUGGAAUGAAGCCUACUUGAUCAUGAUGGAUGAUCGUUUUGAUGUGUUCUUGGAUUCGGUUUAUGAGAAUUUUAUUGAGUAUUUUUGCGUCGAUAUUCAUAAAGGAAAUUGGUCUGAAGUUCUCUUUCUUUGUUGGAUCUUUGUGUGGUUUAGGUAUAAGCAUAAUUGUGGCUUCAUAGAAGGAAUUGGAAUAGUUUAGACAGUAUUUGUAUUAGAUCUUCUAUGAAGGUCUGAUAGAAUUCUGCACUAAAGCCAUCUUGUUCUGGGCUCUUUUUGGUUGGGAGACUUUUAAUAACUGCUUCUAUUUAUUUAGGAGUUAUGAGAUUGUUUAUAUGGUUUAUCUGAUCCUGAUUUAACAUUGGUACCUGCUAUUUGUCUAGAAAAUUGACCAUUUCAUCCAGAUUUUCCAGUUUUGUUGAAUAUAGGCUUUUGUAGUAAGAUCUGAUGAUUUUUUAAAUUUCCUCAGAUUCUAUUGUUAUGUCUCCCUUUUCAUUUCUGAUUUUGUUAAUUUGGACACACUCUUUGUGUCCUCUGGUUAGUCUGCUAAAGGUUUAUCUAUCUUGUUGAUUUUCUCAAAGAACCAGCUCCUGGUUUUAUUGAUUUUUUGCAUAGUCUUUUUUUGUUCCUACUUGGUUGAUCUCAGCCCUGAUCAUUUCAUUAGAUGCUGAGAAAGCAUUUGACAAAAUUCAACACCCCUUCAUGAUAAAAGUCCUGGAAAGAUAGGAAUUCAAGGCCCAUACCUAAACAUAGUAAAAAGCAAUAUACAGCAAACCAGUAGCCAACAUUAAACUAAAUGGUGAGAAACUUGAAGCAAUCCCACUAAAAGUAGGGACUAGACAAGGCUGCCUACUGUCUCCCUACUUAUUCAAUAUAGUUCUUGAAGUUCUUGAAGCCAGAGCAAUCAGACAGCGAAAGGAGGCCAAAGGGAUACAACUUGGAAAGGAAGAAGUCAAAAUAUCACUAUUUGCAGAUGAUAUGAUAGUAUAUUAAGUAACCCCAAAAGUUCCACUUAGCCUGAUAAACAACUUCAGCAAAGUGACUGGGUAUAAAAUUAAUUCAAACAAAUCAGCAGCCUUUCUCUACUCAAAGGAUAAAUAGGCUGAGAAAGAAAUUAGGGAAAUGACACCCUUCACAAUAGUCACAAAUAACAUAAAAUACCUUGGUGUGAAUCUAACCAAGCAAGAGAAAUAUCUGUAUGACAAGAACUUCAAGUCUCUGAAGAAAGAAAUUGAAGAAGAUCUCAAAAGAUGGAAAGACCUCCCAUGCUCAUGGAUUGGCAGGAUUAAUAAAGUAAAAAUGGCCAUUUUGCCAAAAGCAAUCUACAGAUUCAAUGCAAUCCCCAUCAAAAUUCCAACUCAAUUCUUCAUAGAGUUAGAAAGAGUAAUUUGCAUAUUCAUUUGGAAUAACAAAAAACCCAGGAUAGCAAAAACUAUCCUCAACCAUAAAAGAACUUCUGGGGGAAUCACCUUCCCUGACCUCAAGCUGUAUUACAGAGCAAUGGUGAUAAAAACUGCAUGGUAUUGGUACAGAGACAGGCAGGUAGAUCAGUGGAAUAGAAUUGAAGACCCAGAAAUGAACCCACACACCUAUGGUCACCUGAUCUUUGACAAAGGAGCUAAAACCAUCCAGUGGAAAAAAAGAUAGCAUUUUUAAAAAAUGGUGCUGGUUCAACUGGAGGUCAACAUGUAGAAGAAUGCAGAUCGAUCCAUGCUUAUCACCCUGUACAAAGCUUAAGUCCAAGUGAAUCAAGGACCUCCACAUCAAACCAGAUACACUCAGACUAAUAGAAGAAAAAGUAAAUGGGGAAGAGCCUUGAACACAUGGGCACUGGGGAAAAUUUCCUGAACAAAACACCAAUGUCUUAUGCUCUAAGAUCAAGAAUCGACAAAUGGGACCUCAUAAAACUGCAAAGCUUCUGUAAGGCAAAGGACACUGUGGUUAGGACAAAACGGCAACCAACAGAUUGGGAAAAGAUCUUUACCAAUCCUACAUCUGAUAGAGGACUAAUGUCCAAAAUAUACCAAGAACUCAAGAAAUUAGACUCCAGAGAGCCAAAUAAUGCUAUUAAAAAAUGGGGUACAGGGGUUGGGGAUUUAGCUCAGUGGUACAGCGCUUGCCUAGCAAGCGCAAGGCCCUGGGUUCGGUCCCCAGCUCCGAAAAAAAAUGGGGUACAGAGCUAAACAAAUAAUUCUCAGCUAAGGAAUAUCAAAUGGCUGAGAAGUAUCUAAAGAAAUGCCCAACAUCGUUAGUCAUCAGGGAAAUUCAAAUUAAAAUAACUCUGAGAUUCCACCUCACACCAAUCAGAAUGUCGAAGAUAAAAAACUCAGGUGACAGCAGAUGCUGGUGAGGAUGUGGAGAAAGAGGAACACUCCUCCAUUGUUGGUGGGAUUGCAAACUGGUACAACCAUUCUGGAAAUUAGUCUGGAGGUUCCUCAGAAAAUUGAACAUUGAACUACCUGAGGACCCAGCUAUACCUCUCUUGGGCAUAUACCCAAAAGAUGCUCCAACAUAUAACAAAGACACAUGCUCCACUAUGUUCAUGCAGCCUUAUUUAAAAUAGCCAGAAGCUGGAAAGAACCCAGAUGCCCUUCAACAGAGGAAUGGAUACAGAAAAUGUGGUACAUCUACACAAUAGAAUAUUAGUCAUCUAUCAAAAACAAUGACUUUAUGAAAUUCAUAGGCAAAUGGAUGGAACUGGAAAAUAUGCUGAGUGAGGUAACCCAAUCAUAUAAAAACACACAUGGUAUGCACUCAUUGAAGUGGAUAUUAGCCCAAAAACUCGAAUUACCCAACAUAAAAUCUACAGAUCACAUGAAGCUCAAGAAGAAGGAUGACCAAAGUGUGGAUAUUUCAGUCCUUCUUAAAAAGGGGAACAAAAAUAUUCAUAGGAGGGGAUAUGGAGAUAAAGUUUGGAGCAGAGUUUGAAGGAAUGGCUAUUCAGAGCCUGCCUCACUCAGGUAUACAGCCCAUUUAUACACAGCCACCAAAACUAGAUAUUAUUGAUGAAGUCAAGAAAUGUAUGCUGACAGGAGCCUGAUAUUGCUGUCUCCUGAGAGGCUCUGCCAGAGCAUGUCAAAUACAGAGGCGAAUGCUAGCAGCAAACCAUUGAACUGAGAACAGGGUCCCUGUUGGAGGAAUUAGAAAAAGGAUUGAAGGAGCUGAAGGGGCUUGCAACCCCAUAAGAACAACAAUACCAACCAACUAGAGCUCCCAGGGACUAAACCACUACCCAAAGAGUACACAUGGACAGACCCAUGACUCCACCUGCAUAUGUAGCAGAGGAUGACCUU